rnacentral:lncRNA from 1 species
UCUGUACGAGGGCAUCGACUUCUACUCCACCAUCACCCGUGCCAGGUUUGAGGAGCUCAACAUGGACCUGUUCAGGAAGUGCAUGGAGCCCGUGGAGAAGUGCCUGAGGGAUGCCAAGAUGGACAAGAGCAGCGUGCACGACGUUGUCCUUGUUGGUGGCUCCACCCGUAUCCCCAGGGUGCAGCAGCUGCUCCAGGACUUCUUCAACGGCAAGGAGCUGUGCAAGAACAUCAACCCCGAUGAGGCCGUCGCCUACGGUGCCGCUGUCCAGGCCGCCAUCCUGAGCGGCGAGGGCAACGAGAAGGUGCAGGACCUGCUUCUGCUGGACGUCACCCCUCUCUCCCUUGGCCUGGAGACCGCCGGAGGAGUGAUGACCGUGCUGAUCCCGAGGAACACCACCAUCCCCACCAAGAAGGAGCAGGUGUUCUCCACCUACUCGGACAACCAGCCUGGUGUCCUGAUCCAGGUGUACGAGGGCGAGAGGACACGGACCCGCGACAACAACCUGCUGGGCAAGUUCGAGCUCUCCGGCAUCCCCCCUGCGCCCCGUGGUGUGCCCCAGAUCACGGUGUGCUUCGACAUCGACGCCAACGGCAUCCUGAACGUCUCGGCCGAGGACAAGACGACCGGGCAGAAGAACAAGAUCACCAUCACCAACGACAAGGGCCGUCUGUCCAAGGAGGAGAUCGAGAAGAUGGUGCAGGACGCGGAGAAGUACAAGUCGGAGGACGAGGAGCACAAGAAGAAGGUGGAGGCCAAGAACUCGCUGGAGAACUACGCCUACAACAUGCGCAACACGAUCAAGGACGAGAAGAUCGCGUCCAAGCUGGCCGGCGACGACAAGAAGAAGAUCGAGGACGCCAUCGACGCGGCCAUCUCGUGGCUGGACGCCAACCAGCUCGCCGAGGCGGACGAGUUCGAGGACAAGAUGAAGGAGCUCGAGUCGCUGUGCAACCCCAUCAUCGCCAAGAUGUACCAGGGCGCGGGCGCCGACAUGGGCGGCGCCGGCGGCAUGGACGAGGACGCACCCGCGGGCAGCGGCGGCCCUGGCCCCAAGAU